rnacentral:misc_RNA from 1 species
UGUGUGUGUGUGUGUGUGUGUAAUAACAAAAAGAUAUAGUGUGUGUGUGCGCUAAAUGAUAAUUUAGGCAAGAUUUUCAUAACAGUAAUUACAUAAGUUUGUUUCAAGAAUUGAAACCCAACUUAGAUCGAACUGAACCAGAAUCAAAGUGCCGAGAACUGAACUGGAACCAUACCAAAAGUUUGGUUUGUUUUGGUUCCAGUUCCUAUUCAAACCUAAAAUUGGAAUUGAAAAUACACAACUCCUAGUUGAAAUUUUAAGUGCAAGGUUGUAUUCCGCAAUUACCAAUGUCAUUUCAACAGAAAGCGGGGCUAUCUGCAGUGUACAUGUCAGCCUCAUAAAUAUUGUUAUACCGAGUAGACAAAUUUGCUCUCAAAUAUCGUCUUUUUUUGCCAUUGUUUGAGUUACUUGCCCUACUAUCCUUCUCUUUCACCCCAUUGCUACCUUGUUUGAACCUUUAAACAAAAAAUCCUCAUCUAUUGUCUGUUUUUAUUUUACAAAAUAAAUAAUCUAUUGGCCUGCAACAAGCAACCUGAAAUUGUGGAUAAGAAAAAUCAAUAUGAAAUCAGAAGAAUUUUAGUCUUAGCAUGCAAAAGUAAAAAUUCAGGAGAGAUUUGGGCUCCUUAGUUUGCUAGUUGCUGUUGUUUAGUGUUCAGUAGAGAUCAACACAGAUUGGUUUCUUUCUCGAACUCUUGUCUCCACUCUUCUGUCUCUUGGGUUUUGAGGACAAUAAGAACAAGGGUAAAUAGGGAAAGAGGGAGGGCAUCAGCGCAGUGAGGUCUACUCUGACAGUAGCAUGCUCAUGAGCUGUGGCAUCGACAUGUGGAAAUAUUCACAUCCUUCAACAGAAAUGGUGAAAAUCCUUCCUUAUAAGACUACUUCUGGUGGUUUGUGCAGAUGUAAUCAUUGUGGAACCAGUUC